UUCCUUUUUAUAAGGAUGUCUAGCUGCCUGAAGAACUCCUAAUAGAAUGUUAUUAGUGAAGGUCUACAUCCCUUCUGAAGUUUGCUGUUAACUGAUUUUGAAGUUUUGAUGAUUCCUGUAAGGUAGAAUAAAAAACAUCACCAAACUCAGCAAAUAACUUUCAAAGAAGAUAUCAUUAAUGAAUAAGUGAAGAGAAAAUGCUUGUAGAUAAAGUGGCUUGAUGUCCAGGAUGGGAAAACACUGGUAAAAAUUUCCCUGCUUAAAAGAGGAAAUCAUGUUCUUGAACUUGUAUUACUCAUCAAUGAAAUGCAUAGCUCUGAUAACAAAUACGAAGUAUCCUGAGCCUGCCAUCUAACACAUCCAUAGACAUGCUGUGAAAAAGGAAAGAAAAUACCCUACUUGAGACCCAAGAUUCUUUAUACUACCUUGUAACCAUUUUCCUUCUCACAAGAAGCCAAUGAAUGAAUGAUUGGUGACUAUAUACAAAGAAACAAAAGGAAGGAGACUACAUGGAAUCUGAUCAUCCUUUGUUAAAUGUUCUCUUU
rnacentral:lncRNA from 1 species